GAACGGGACUCUUCGGAGUUUAGUGGCGGACGGGUGAGUAACGCGUGAGAAUCUGCCCUUAGGUUGGGGACAACAGUUGGAAACGACUGCUAAUACCCAAUGUGCCGAGAGGUGAAAGGUUAACUGCCUGGGGAUGAGCUCGCGUCUGAUUAGCUAGUUGGAGUGGUAACGGCACACCAAGGCGACGAUCAGUAGCUGGUCUGAGAGGAUGAUCAGCCACACUGGGACUGAGACACGGCCCAGACUCCUACGGGAGGCAGCAGUGGGGAAUUUUCCGCAAUGGGCGAAAGCCUGACGGAGCAAGACCGCGUGAGGGAGGAAGGCCUAUUGGUUGUAAACCUCUUUUGAUAGGGAAGAACACAAUGACGGUACCUAUCGAAUCAGCAUCGGCUAACUCCGUGCCAGCAGCCGCGGUAAUACGGAGGAUGCAAGCGUUAUCCGGAUUUAUUGGGCGUAAAGCGUCCGUAGGUGGCAAACCAAGUCAGUUGUUAAAGCGUAGAGCUUAACUCUAUAAGGGCAAUUGAAACUGGUUAGCUAGAGUGCGAUAGGGGCAAGGGGAAUUCCCAGUGUAGCGGUGAAAUGCGUAGAUAUUGGGAAGAACAUCGGUGGCGAAGGCGCCUUGCUGGGUCUGCACUGACACUGAGGGACGAAAGCUAGGGGAGCGAAAGGGAUUAGAUACCCCUGUAGUCCUAGCCGUAAACGAUGGAUACUAGGCGUUGUCCGUAUCGACCCGAGCCGUGCCGAAGC
rnacentral:rRNA from 1 species